CAGUAACGGCGAGUGAAGCGGCAACAGCUCAAAUUUGAAAUCUGGCUCCUUCGGGGUCCGAAUUGUAAUUUGUAGAGAGUGCUUCGGGCGAGACCUCGGUCUAAGUCCAUUGGAACAUGGUGUCAUAGAGGGUGAGAAUCCCGUAUGCGACCGUGGCUCGAGCCCAUGUGAAGCCUCUUCGACGAGUCGAGUUGUUUGGGAAUGCAGCUCAAAACGGGUGGUAAAUUUCAUCUAAAGCUAAAUACUGGCUGGAGACCGAUAGCGCACAAGUAGAGUGAUCGAAAGAUGAAAAGCACUUUGGAAAGAGAGUCAAACAGUACGUGAAAUUGUUGAAAGGGAAGCGCUUGCAACCAGACCUGCCCGUAGGCGAUCAGCCGCUGUUCUCAGCGGUGCACUCGCUCUGCGAUCAGGCCAGCAUCGGUUUCGGCGGUCGGAUAAAGGCCUUGGGAAUGUAGCUUCCCUUCGGGGAAGUCUUAUAGCCCUCGGUGCAAUGCGGCCAGCCGGGACCGAGGACCGCGCUUCGGCUAGGAUGCUGGCGUAAUGGUUGUAAGCGACCCGUCUUGAAACACGGACCAAGGAGUCUAACAUCUAUGCGAGUGUUUGGGUGGCAAACCCAUACGCGGAAUGAAAGUGAACGGAGGUGAGAACCCUUAAGGGCGCAUCAUCGACCGAUCCAGAUGUCUUCGGAUGGAUUUGAGUAUGAGCAUAGCUGUUGGGACCCGAAAGAUGGUGAACUAUGCCUGAAUAGGGUGAAGCCAGAGGAAACUCUGGUGGAGGCUCGCAGCGGUUCUGACGUGCAAAUCGAUCGUCAAAUUUGGGUAUAGGGGCGAAAGACUAAUC
rnacentral:rRNA from 1 species